rnacentral:lncRNA from 1 species
AGGCGCGCGGUUGCCACGGUGCCAGAGGCGCGGGAGGCCUGGCCCUGCCCCUCCGGGUGUCGCGAACAGGUACCGUGGGUAAAAGAGGACUCAGACUCAGAUGGCAAUUCACAUACUUAUCUUAUAUUGUCAUAAUUCAUUUCAAUACAAUUACCACACACUAUGCAAUUAUCACACAAUAUUAAGUCUGCCAAUUACCACGUCCCUGUACCUGUACUGCGCAAGUCCUUAUGGGAGCACGACGUUUCCUCCCGCAGGGUCAGAGGGUCCGAUCCCUAGACGAAGGGCGUCGAGUCGGCGCUAGGCUAUCUGCCUCUCCGCUUGCCUCAUCCUCUGGUCUCAUCUGGUCGGAGGCGAUGCUCCUCCCAGUGGGAUCAGCUGUGCAUAGGUCUCGGUCGGUAGUCAGAUCAUCAGAUUGACUGGCCGACUGGUCAGUGGGAUGGAUCGUCAACUUGCUUG